rnacentral:rRNA from 1 species
AACGAACGCUGGCGGCAGGCCUAACACAUGCAAGUCGAACGCUCCGCAAGGGGAGUGGCAGACGGGUGAGUAACACGUGGGAAUCUUCCUAUUGGUACGGAAUAGCUCAGGGAAACUUGGGGUAAUACCGUAUACGCCCUUCGGGGGAAAGAUUUAUCGCCGAUAGAUGAGCCCGCGUCUGAUUAGCUAGUUGGUGAGGUAAUGGCUCACCAAGGCGACGAUCAGUAGCUGGUCUGAGAGGAUGACCAGCCACACUGGGACGGGGACACGGCCCAGACUUCUACGGGAGGCAGCAGUGGGGAAUAUUGGACAAGGGGGGCAAGCCUGAUCCAGCCAUGCCGCGUGAGUGACGAAGGUCUUCGGAUUGUAAAGCUCUUUUGGCGGGGACGAUAAUGACGGUACCCGCAGAGUAAGCCCCGGCUAACUUCGUGCCAGCAGCCGCCGUAACAC